UGUAGGGUAUCUCUCUCAAUCUUCCAAUUCUUAGGAGAUCGGAGGCAGAAGCUGGUGGCAUUUCACCGCCUGGCUACAGUGUACUACUCCCUGAACAUGUAUGAGAUGGCUGAGGACUGCUACCUGAAGACCCUGUCCCUCUGUCCACCCUGGCUGCAGAGUCCCAAGGAGGCCCUGUACUAUGCCAAGGUGUAUUAUCGCCUGGGCCGACUCACCUUCUGCCAGCUGAAGGGCAGUUGCAGGCUGGCCCAGGGCAGACCCAACGGAGGGCAAUGGUCCUUAGAGCUAUGGCCACCCUGAUGUGGAUGCCUGGUGA
rnacentral:sRNA from 1 species